UACGAAGGGUGCAAGCGUUACUCGGAAUUACUGGGCGUAAAGCGUGCGUAGGUGGUUUGUUAAGUCUGAUGUGAAAGCCCUGGGCUCAACCUGGGAAUUGCAUUGGAUACUGGCAGGCUAGAGUGCGGUAGAGGGUAGUGGAAUUCCCGGUGUAGCAGUGAAAUGCGUAGAGAUCGGGAGGAACACCAGUGGCGAAGGCGGCUUCCUGGACCGACACUGACGCUGAGGCGCGAAAGCUAGGGGAGCAAACGGG
rnacentral:rRNA from 1 species